CUCCGGGGUCUCACCAUGGCCUGGACCCCUCUCCUGCUCCCCCUCCUCACUCUCUGCACAGGUUCUGUGGCCUCUCAGCUGACUCAGGUGCCUGCAGUGUCUGUGGCCUUGGGACAGACGGCCAGGAUCACCUGCCAGGGAGACAGCUUAAGUAGCUACUAUCCAAACUGGUACCAGCAGAAGCCGGGCCAGGCCCCUGUGCUGGUCAUCUAUGGUAACAGCAACCGGCCCUCAGGGAUCCCUGAGCGAUUCUCAAGCUCUGACUCAGGGACCACGGCCACCCUGACCAUCAGCGGGGCCCAGGCCGGGGACGAGGCUGACUAUUACUGCCAGGUGGGUGGCCUGGGGGUGACUGAUGUGCUUGAGGGAUUCGAUGCUGCAGAUGCUUCAGCACAAAGGGUGGGGGUGGGGUGGGGACAGGGAUAA